rnacentral:lncRNA from 1 species
AUUUAAAGCCCAGCCCAGGGCUUCCUGUGCUUAGGUUAUCUCAGGCUGGGGCAUUGCUUCAGACCACACAGGAACAUGCCGAAAUAAUUUUUACUGGUUCCGCAAUAUAACGUGCAGCACAUGGGGAUAGGAGCCGUGCUGUGCUGACACGCUGCCUCAGCACGCCGGCAUGCUGCAGGGCUGCCAGCACACGGCUCUGCAGCAAGGCAGGCAUUGGGAUGCAGGGGUGAUGUGCAUUGGGAUGCAGGAGGAUGCGCAUUGGGAUUCAGUGAGGAUGUGCACUGGGAUGCAGGAGGACACACACUGAGGAUGGGAUGCAGUUUGGGAAUGAGUGUGCACUGCAGGAGGGAGCGCCGAUCUCAGACGGAACACGGCACUGCAAGGACCUGGAUCUGCUGGGCAGCUGGGACAGCUGUGGGUCCAUGGCCAUGAGGAGCAGCCCCAGGGAGGUCGGCAGAGCUGGGGACUGCACAGUGCCAGGUGCCUUCAUUGGGGUCUGUCUGCCCCCUGUCUCUCUGCAGAUGUGGCUGUAGGACCAUGGGGGGAUGGGGAGCCCCUUCAGCUGUCAUUCUUUUGUUCAGGAAAUGAAAAAAUG